UCGGACGUAGUGCGCGGCGCACACCCGCCACCGAUUGAAGAUUCAUGCUGAACUUCGUGUAUGCGGGAGACCGGGUUCGAUUCCCGGCGUCUGAA